rnacentral:rRNA from 1 species
GAUGAACGCUGGCGGCGCGCCUAACACAUGCAAGUCGAACGGCACCCCUCCUCGGAGGGAAGCGAGUGGCGAACGGCUGAGUAACACGUGGAGAACCUGCCCCCUCCCCCGGGAUAGCCGCCCGAAAGGACGGGUAAUACCGGAUACCCCGGGGUGCCGCAUGGCACCCCGGCUAAAGCCCCGACGGGAGGGGAUGGCUCCGCGGCCCAUCAGGUAGACGGCGGGGUGGCGGCCCACCGUGCCGACAACGGGUAGCCGGGUUGAGAGACCGACCGGCCAGAUUGGGACUGAGACACGGCCCAGACUCCUACGGGAGGCAGCAGUGGGGAAUCUUGCGCAAUGGGGGGAACCCUGACGCAGCGACGCCGCGUGCGGGACGGAGGCCUUCGGGUCGUAAACCGCUUUCAGCAGGGAAGAGUCAAGACUGUACCUGCAGAAGAAGCCCCGGCUAACUACGUG